UUACGGCCAUUAUCACGUUGAAACAUAGGUUCUCAUACGAUCAGAGGAGUUAAGCUACCUCGAGCCUGGUCACUACCUAGAUGGGUGGAGGCUUGAGAAUACCAAGUGCUGUAA